CGCUGGAUCUGACACUAUGACUGCUGGAUCUGACACUAAUUCAGAUACGCUUUCUGUUACCAAUGAUCAUCAAGAAGAUUUCCAACAUGAUGUAGAAAUUCAUGCUGAAAUAGACAGAGCCGAUUAGUAGGACCGCAAUUAGAAUCGCCCGGGGACGGUCGCAAGUCAGUCCGGCCGUGACGGCGCAUUCGAAACGUCAUAUGUUUUAUUACGCCGGAACUAGAUUGACAAGCUGCAGUGCUGUCGUCUGGCGGAGCGUCGUAGCGUUGGUUAGCGCGGCCAUGUUGGCAGCUUUACUUUUGUGACCGCAUCGUAAGCGCACCACGUACCGAGUCGACGAAUCGCUUUUGUUCCGCGUAAUCUUUUGAUAUCUAUUGUUAAUUUUUACUGAUUGUUAUAGUGAAAGUGAUAAUUUAAAUUAUAGUGAACUGAUUUUAAAUUAAACCAUAACUCUAAUUAUUUUGUGUAUUAAAGUGAUUAAAGAUCGAACUUGAA